GAGACAACUAGCUGACUUUGCUGAGGGUAUGUCAUCGUCUGGCUUUCUGUGACUUACUGUCCUAUUCACCGACUCUGAUGGUGUACCUGAUGUGCCAGAGUCUUUAUGGAAGACACAUUCGUGGAAAUCCUGGUUUCUUCCUGGAGUCGAUCAUAUAAUAUCCCAGCUCAUUAUUAGUGACACGUAACGAUAUUGAAUAGUAUACUUGAAUUCAGUUUAUAUUAUACAUGAAAAAUGGAACAUCAUUAUUACAUUGCUCUACAUCGGCCACUUGAUUCUGAACCUCCUGGAAGACCAAAACAUAAAUCAUUAGUUCAGCUCAAAAUAUGUAUGUGGAUAGGCCUAGUGGUUAGGGCUCAGCGCUAAAUAUCAGAAAUUUGAAGGUUCGAGCUGAAUACUUCAUGUGCUUUUAGUUGUGAAUAUAUUAUAAAAGCUGAUGUUAACUGAUUUUUCCUCCAUCUAGUCAUCUGUUCACAACUGAGAAUGCUUGAGGUCUCUAACUUCACCUAUUGCACAUAUGUGUGUAGUUUUGGUUGAAAAUUCCAUACUAUUAAUAUAUUUUUUUUCGUACAGUGUAAUCUUUAAUUAACAUUAGUAAUUAAAGAGUUUUUAUCUACUC